rnacentral:tRNA from 1 species
GCAAGUGUAGCUCAGUGGUAGAGCACUUGCCUGUCAUACACACUGUCCUGGGAUCAAUCCCUAGCACUGUA